rnacentral:rRNA from 1 species
AGAGUUUGAUCAUGGCUCAGAACGAACGCUGGCGGCGUGCUUAACACAUGCAAGUCGCGUGCGCGGUUGCCGUAGCAAUACGGUGAUGGGCGCACGGCGCACGGGUGCGUAACACGUGGGCAAUCUGCCCUUUGAUGGGGAAUAACCCGCCGAAAGGCGGGCUAAUUCCGCAUAAGAUUCCCGGGACCUCGGUACUGGGAUUGAAAGCAGCAAUGCGUCGAAGGAGGAGCCCGCGCCCGAUUAGCUAGUUGGUGAGGUAAUGGCUCACCAAGGCAAUGAUCGGUAGCUGGUCUGAGAGGAUGAUCAGCCACACUGGAACUGAGACACGGUCCAGACUCCUACGGGAGGCAGCAGUGGGGAAUCUUGCACAAUGGGCGAAAGCCUGAUGCAGCGACGCCGCGUGGGGGAUGAAGCAUUUCGGUGUGUAAACCCCUUUCGACUGGGAAGAAUACCUCGCAAGAGGGGUGACGGUACCAGUAGAAGAAGCCCCGGCUAACUACGUGCCAGCAGCCGCGGUAAGACGUAGGGGGCCAGCGUUGUUCGGAAUUACUGGGUGUAAAGGGUUCGUAGGCGGUGCGGCAAGUUGGGAGUGAAAUCUCUGGGCUUAACCCAGAGGCUGCUUCCAAAACUGCUGUGCUCGAGUGUGAGAGAGGCUCGUGGAAUUGCAGGUGUAGCGGUGAAAUGCGUAGAUAUCUGCAGGAACACCCGUGGCGAAAGCGGCGAGCUGGAUCACUACUGACGCUGAGGAACGAAAGCUAGGGGAGCAAACAGGAUUAGAUACCCUAGUAGUCC